CCUCCGCGCUGCCUCCUUUCUUCCUCUUGUUCCCUUUUCUCUCUCCUUACCCCGCCCCGUCUCGUGAGGGAAGACGGUCCUAUGGAUUGUAAACCUCUUUUGUCGGGGAGCAAAAGACGCCACGCGUGGCGUUCCGAGAGUACCCGAAGAAAAAGCAUCGGCUAACUCCGUGCCAGCAGCCGCGGUAAUACGGAGGAUGCGAGCGUUAUCCGGAUUUAUUGGGUUUAAAGGGUGCGCAGGCGGAAGAUCAAGUCAGCGGUAAAAUUGAGAGGCUCAACCUCUUCGAGCCGUUGAAACUGGUUUUCUUGAGUGAGGGAGAAGUAUGCGGAAUGCGCGGUGUAGCGGUGAAAUGCAUAGAUAUCACGCAGAACUCCGAUUGCGAAGGCAGCAUACCGGCGCUCAACUGACGCUCAUGCACGAAAGUGUGGGUAUCGAACAGGAUUAGAUACCCUUGUAGUC
rnacentral:rRNA from 1 species